AAGGCUUUAGCUUAAUUAAAGCGUCUGUUUUGCAUGCAGUUAAUGUGGGUUAAUGUCCCGCAAGUCUUA
rnacentral:tRNA from 1 species